AUGCCUGUAAUUAACCACCUCCUAUUUAUUAUUCCCACUAUAAUUGCUAUAGCAUUCCUUACAUUCAUUGAACAAAAAAUCUUAGGCUAUAUACAACUACGCAAAGGAUCUAACACUGUAGGCUCCUACGGACUGCUUCAACCAUUUGCUGAUGCAAUAAAACUUUUCACCAAAGAACCCUUAUGACCCUCAACAUCUACCGUUACCCUUUAUAUUACUGUUCCAACCCUGGCCCUUUCUAUCGCUCUCCUCUUGUGAACUCACCUCCCUAUACCGGAUCCUCUUAUUAAUUUUAAAUAAAGGCCUCCUAUUUAUACUAGCCACAUCAAGCCUAGCCAUCUAUUCUAUGAUCAGGAUGAGCAUCUAAUUCAAAUUAUGUACGAAUCAGUGCAUUAUGAGCUGUAGCCCAGACAAAUUUCAUAUGAAGUCACCCUAACCAUUAUCCUAUUAUCAGUUCUGAUAAGUGGCUCAUUUAACUUAUAUGCACUCAUCACAAAGCAAGAAUUCCUCUGACUACUCCUACCAUCAUGGCCCCUAGCCAUAAUCUGAUUUAUCUCCACACUAACAGAAACUAACUGGGGCCCUUUUGAGCUAACAGAAGGAGAAUCAGAGCCUCAGGCUUCAACAUCAAAUAUGCUGCAGGUUCAUUUGCCCUCUUCUUUAUAGCAUAAUAUAUGAAUAUUAUCGUAAUAAAUGCCCUAACUACUAUUUUUCUAGGAGCACUACACACCAUACAUUCACCAGUACUCUAUACCACAAAUUUCAUUAUCAAGACACUCCUUGUAACUACCUGUUUUUACGAAUUCCAACAGCAUACCCCCAUUUCUGCUACGAACAAUUCAUAUCUUCUAUGAAAAAAUUUUCUACCACUUACGCUAGCAUUCUGCAUAUGUCUCAAUGCCUAUUCUAAUUUCCAGCAUUCUACCCCAAACAUAA
rnacentral:lncRNA from 1 species